AUUGAACGCUGGCGGCAGGCCUAACACAUGCAAGUCGAACGAGUGGCGGACGGGUGAGUAAUGUCUGGGAAACUGCCUGAUGGAGGGGGAUAACUACUGGAAACGGUAGCUAAUACCGCAUACCAUCAGAUGUGCCCAGAUGGGAUUAGCUAGUUGGUGGGGUAACGGCGCACCAAGGCGCCGAUCCCUAGCUGGUCUGAUAGGAUGACCAUCCACACUGGCACUUAGACACGGUCCAGACUCCUACGCUAGGCAGCAGUGGUGAAUAGUGCACAAUGGGCGCAAGCCUGAUGCAGCCAUGCCGCGUGUAUGAAGAAGGCCUUCGGUUUGUAAAGUACUUUCAGCGGGGAGGCGUUACCCGCAGAAGAAGCACCGGCUAACUCCGUGCCAGCAGCCGCGGUAAUUC
rnacentral:rRNA from 1 species